rnacentral:rRNA from 1 species
ACACUCCUGCGGGAGGCAGCAGUGGGGAAUAUUGGACAAUGGGCGCAAGCCUGAUCCAGCCAUGCCGCGUGAGUGAUGAAGGCCCUAGGGUUGUAAAGCUCUUUCACCGGUGAAGAUAAUGACGGUAACCGGAGAAGAAGCCCCGGCUAACUUCGUGCCAGCAGCCGCGGUAAUACGAAGGGGGCUAGCGUUGUUCGGAUUUACUGGGCGUAAAGCGCACGUAGGCGGACUAUUAAGUCAGGGGUGAAAUCCCGGGGCUCAACCCCGGAACUGCCUUUGAUACUGGUAGUCUUGAGUUCGAGAGAGGUGAGUGGAAUGCCGAGUGUAGAGGUGAAAUUCGUAGAUAUUCGGAGGAACACCAGUGGCGAAGGCGGCUCACUGGCUCGAUACUGACGCUGAGGUGCGAAAGCGUGGGGAGCAAACAGGAUUAGAAACCCGUGUAGUCCCAUGA